UCUAAUACCGGAUACGAGUUCAGGAGGCAUCUUCUGGACUGGAAAGCUCCGGCGGUGAAGGAUGAGCCCGCGGCCUAUCAGCUUGUUGGUGGGGUAACGGCCCACCAAGGCGACGACGGG
rnacentral:rRNA from 1 species